rnacentral:misc_RNA from 1 species
CCCAACUAUCCCUAUUAAUCAUUACGGUUGUCCUAGAAACCAACAAAAUAAAACAACUUCGUCCUAUUCUAUUAUUCCAUGCUAAUGUAUUCCGGCAUAAGCCUGCUUUAAACACUCUAAUUUUUUCAAGGUAAAGGUCCUGACUACCCGCAACAUCCAAUAAAGGACAUUACGUAUCACCAGGCGGAUAGACCCCACACAACCAGUACUCAUCUAAAAGAUGGACCAAUUGGAAGAAUCCAAAAUUCAACUACGAGCUUUUUAACUGCAACAACUUUAAUAUACGCUAUUGGAGCUGGAAUUACCGCGGCUGCUGGCACCAGACUUGCCCUCCAA